rnacentral:rRNA from 1 species
CGCGCAGGUGGUUUCUUAAGUCUGAUGUGAAAGCCCACGGCUCAACCGUGGAGGGUCAUUGGAAACUGGGAGACUUGAGUGCAGAAGAGGAUAGUGGAAUUCCAAGUGUAGCGGUGAAAUGCGUAGAGAUUUGGAGGAACACCAGUGGCGAAGGCGACUGUCUGGUCUGUAACUGACACUGAGGCUGAAAGCUGGGGAGCAAACA